UCCACUGGUUCCAUCUCAAAACGACGUGGUAGCGAAACUUGGUAGAGCUGAUCAUUCAAACGUCGUCGUUUGAUCUGGAGAUGAAAGCGGCCAUUUCUUCGUUGAUUAGCUUCAGAAAUUUCGAUCUCCACGAACCUUCCCUCUCCCGCUCUAUUUUCCGGCAGCUCUCUCUUCUUCUACCGUCUCAGUUCCCGGUCAUAUCCACCGACGCCAAGGUCUACGGCGCCAAUUUUACCAAUCUGCACCAGAAGUUCCGUUUCCACUCUAUCAAGACCUCGCCGAUUAUGGCCUCAUCCUUCAAUCCCGAGCGAGCUACAUCUCCGCCUGCAGUUCCGCCGCCGGUACCUCCAGUCACCAAGUUUAAAAUCGGGCUAUGUCAAUUGAUGGCGACGCCUGAUAAGCAAAGGAAUAUUGAACAUGCUCGUAAGGCCAUUGAGGAGGCUGUGGGAAAGGGCGCCAAGCUUGUUGUCUUGCCGGAAAUAUGGAAUGUUCCUUAUUCACCGGAUAGCGUAUCACUUUAUGCCGAGGACAUUGAAGCCGGUGGUGAGGCCUCCCCUUCAACAGCAAUGUUAUCUGAAGUUUCUCGUCGUUUAAAAGUCACAAUAGUCGGCGGCUCAAUUGUAGAGCGCUCGGGGGAUAAAAUAUAUAAUACUUGUUGUGUUUUUGGCACUGACGGAAACAUGAAAGCUAAACACAGGAAGAUACAUCUUUUUGAUAUUGAUAUCCCUGGAAAAAUCACUUUUAUCGAGUCCAAGGCUGUCGCAGCAGGUCAAACACCUACUGUUGUGGACACAGAAGUUGGACGUAUUGGUAUUGGAAUCUGUUAUGACAUUCGUUUUCCAGAACUAGCCAUGAUAUAUGCUGCAAGAGGUGCUCACUUGAUUUGCUGUCCUGGGGCAUUUAACAUGACCACUGGACCAUUGCACUGGGAGUUAUUGCAGCGCGCAAGGGCUGUAGAUAAUCUGUUGUAUGUGGCAACAUGUUCACGUGCUCGAGGUGUUGAUGAUAGUUAUGUAGCUUGGGGCCACUCAACCCUUGUUGGGCCGUUUGGGGAAGUGUUGGCUACAACUGAACAUGAUGAAGCAAUAAUCAUAUCUGAGAUUGAUUAUUCGCUUAUUGAGCUUCGAAGGACUAACCUACCACUUCUGAAGCAAAAACGUGGGGAUCUUUACCAGUUGGUAGAUGUUCAGAGGCUGAAAUCCGAAUGAAAGGCCAGGGUUUAAAUGACAGACAAUUCCUUGGGUUGAAUUGAAUGCAAAGGGAGAAACUUGACUAAAGUGAUGUUGAAUCUAACAAAUAACAGCUAAUGCAGACUUUGCAAUCCUAGGGUGGCCCACUAAAGCGUAUGGAAACCCAAAGGGAAUGAGCAUCAUGGCCCUUGGAAUUUAGUAUUCACCUGGUUGUAUUUAACGUAAAUGUCACGUUACAUUAGCUACAAAUACAUUUUGUUUAACAUUUUACGGAGAUCCAAAUGAAAUGGGAAUAGAAGCUGAAAGUGACAAGCGAA